rnacentral:misc_RNA from 1 species
AAGUCGUAACAAGGUCUCCGUUGGUGAACCAGCGGAAGGAUCAUUAACACGUUUUACGUAUAAACCAAAUCGUGAACUUUAUAACGCUCGGCGAGCUAGAAAACAUGCCCAACUGGCUGUAUUGUGGGAUUAGGAUCAGACUAAAGUGGUUAGGUAGACCUUUCUUAACGCAAGUUGAGGAUGUUCGCCACUGUGGAGUCGCGGGUUAUAUGGGGCUUUGAAUCCCUUUCUCCCAAUCCUUUUCCGUGAAUACUGAAUGACCCAGUUGUUAAACUCUGUCGCUUAUCGCAGCCCUCCAUUACGGCCUACCUCGUAAUGUGGUUGUGUUUAACCCCUAUUAACCAUUUUUUUUAUCAGUACUGAUAUGUAUCAGACCGAAAGGUUCGAUAUAUAAAAAACAUGCACAACUCUUAGCAAUGGAUGUCUCGGUUCUC